AUUUGCGACCCCGCCCCCCAGCAGCUCUGGCCUUUACCCAAGGGCGGCCUGCCCCUUUGUGGCGAGCAGCACUCGCCCGCUCUGGGGACUGGGCUUCCCCACCAGGCGCGGUAAAUCCUCCCCCCAGCAAAGGAAAGUAGGUGGUUGGAAUAUUAGGUGUGAUAGAGUGUUGCAAGAGAAUCUUAACAAGACCAUGUGUAUGCCCACUUCAGUCAAAGGGUAGCUGGUCUCUGUGGACAGACAGAGCCAGGCUCCCCUGGAAAUUCAGCUAAUUAAAGAGAGCCAGGAUAGACCUGGGCCUACAAAGGUCUGUUAGUGGACAUCUGGAGGAAGGAAGAACUGAGACAGGCUGAACCCGGCACUGGCAGAGGAAGUUGUACUGGAAUGGACCUAACUUCUGUGGCAGUCCCUAGAGCAGGGGUCUCAAACAUACGGAGUUAUUUCCUGCAGCCCGCCAUAGGCAUCGACUCCACCAGCAGCCAAACUCCUCUCAUCCCCUGCCCCUCCCCGAAUGCACUGCAUCCCCGCUCCUCCGCCUACCUCCCAGUGCUUCUCGCCGCCAAACAGCUGCUUGGCGGUGCUUAGGACUU